AAAGAUUCAAAUUAACGAAACAGAAAUGAAACAAAAUAAUUAAAUAACAUUAAAGAACUCUUUCAAAAUAACACUGCGCGUUUGCUAAGUAUUGUGCUCCUUAAUUAAACGGGACAAGGCCAGUUUUGCCCCAAUAUCAAGAAAGCAGUACUACGAAUGGGAUUUUUUGCGCAUUUCGUAUGACAAAACUAAGAAUAUGGUAACAUUGAGAAAGCUAGGCGCAAGUUCCGGAUCCGGUUUCAACAAAAAAAAGCGGUUCCUAAUUCUAUCCAUGAAAAGGAAUAAGUCUAAAAACUGAUGCGAAACAUUGAAGCUUGGCACACAUUCUCCUACCAGACCUCAACGGCGAACGCGAAAUCACAAAUGUUUCAAACAUAGAUAGCCCUGUA